rnacentral:rRNA from 1 species
GACGUAGGGUGCAAGCGUUGUCCGGAUUUACUGGGCGUAAAGAGCGCGUAGGCGGCUCGUUAAGUGAGAAGUGAAAGCUCUUGGCUCAACCAAGAAACCGCUUUUCAUACUGGCGAGCUAGAGUGAUGCAGAGGUGGAUAGAAUUCCCGGUGUAGCGGUGAAAUGCGUUGAUAUCGGGAGGAAUACCUGUGGCGAAGGCGGUCCACUGGGCAUCAACUGACGCUGAGGCGCGAAAGCGUGGGUAGCAAACAGG